UACGUAGGGUGCGAGCGUUGUCCGGAAUUAUUGGGCGUAAAGAGCUUGUAGGCGGUCUGUCGCGUCUGCUGUGAAAAUCCGGGGCUCAACCCCGGACUUGCAGUGGGUACGGGCAGACUAGAGUGUGGUAGGGGAGACUGGAAUUCCUGGUGUAGCGGUGGAAUGCGCAGAUAUCAGGAGGAACACCUAUGGCGAAGGCAGAUCUCUGGGCCGUAACUGACGCUGAGGAGCGAAAGCGUGGGGAGCGAACAGG
rnacentral:rRNA from 1 species